ensembl:lncRNA
CGUGGAUGUAGUGGGAUGCCCCCUUCUCCUCGCUGUUGCGAUAUAUGGCUCGGAGUUUAAGGGUAGUUUUGCAGCCAGCAGGCAGGCAGGAAGGUCAGGACCACAUCUCCUACCCCGAGCAAAGUGCCUGGGCAGCUCCUCUGGAUACAAAGUCAGCACAUAUUAUCUUGCGCAGAGGUUCACGUUCUGCAGAGAGAGUCAGCAGGCAAAAGUGCCUGUAACAAUUAGCGUGACAGCCCCUGCGAGCAGGAGAGUGGGAACGGAGAUGGGCGCACACAGGAGAUGUCUGUCUGCAGUCCCCCUUCCACCGAGGGCAAUUCAG